ACAAUGAAGAGUUUGAUCCUGGCUCAGGAUGAACGCUAGCUACAGGCUUAACACAUGCAAGUCGAGGGGCAUCAGGAAGAAAGCUUGCUUUCUUUGCUGGCGACCGGCGCACGGGUGAGUAACACGUAUCCAACCUGCCCUUUACUCGGGGAUAGCCUUUCGAAAGAAAGAUUAAUACCCGAUAGCAUAAUGAUUCCGCAUGGUUUCAUUAUUAAAGGAUUCCGGUAAAGGAUGGGGAUGCGUUCCAUUAGGUUGUUGGUGAGGUAACGGCUCACCAAGCCUUCGAUGGAUAGGGGUUCUGAGAGGAAGGUCCCCCACAUUGGAACUGAGACACGGUCCAAACUCCUACGGGAGGCAGCAGUGAGGAAUAUUGGUCAAUGGGCGGUAGCCUGAACCAGCCAAGUAGCGUGAAGGAUGAAGGCUCUAUGGGUCGUAAACUUCUUUUAUAUAAGAAUAAAGUGCAGUAUGUAUACUGUUUUGUAUGUAUUAUAUGAAUAAGGAUCGGCUAACUCCGUGCCAGCAGCCGCGGUAAUACGGAGGAUCCGAGCGUUAUCCGGAUUUAUUGGGUUUAAAGGGAGCGUAGGUGGACUGGUAAGUCAGUUGUGAAAGUUUGCGGCUCAACCGUAAAAUUGCAGUUGAUACUGUCAGUCUUGAGUACAGUAGAGGUGGGCGGAAUUCGUGGUGUAGCGGUGAAAUGCUUAGAUAUCACGAAGAACUCCGAUUGCGAAGGCAGCUCACUGGACUGCAACUGACACUGAUGCUCGAAAGUGUGGGUAUCAAACAGGAUUAGAUACCCUGGUAGUCCACACAGUAAACGAUGAAUACUCGCUGUUUGCGAUAUACAGUAAGCGGCCAAGCGAAAGCAUUAAGUAUUCCACCUGGGGAGUACGCCGGCAACGGUGAAACUCAAAGGAAUUGACGGGGGCCCGCACAAGCGGAGGAACAUGUGGUUUAAUUCGAUGAUACGCGAGGAACCUUACCCGGGCUUAAAUUGCAGUGGAAUGAUGUGGAAACAUGUCAGUGAGCAAUCACCGCUGUGAAGGUGCUGCAUGGUUGUCGUCAGCUCGUGCCGUGAGGUGUCGGCUUAAGUGCCAUAACGAGCGCAACCCUUAUCUUUAGUUACUAACAGGUCAUGCUGAGGACUCUAGAGAGACUGCCGUCGUAAGAUGUGAGGAAGGUGGGGAUGACGUCAAAUCAGCACGGCCCUUACGUCCGGGGCUACACACGUGUUACAAUGGGGGGGUACAGAAGGCAGCUAGCGGGUGACCGUAUGCUAAUCCCAAAAGCCUCUCUCAGUUCGGAUCGAAGUCUGCAACCCGACUUCGUGAAGCUGGAUUCGCUAGUAAUCGCGCAUCAGCCACGGCGCGGUGAAUACGUUCCCGGGCCUUGUACACACCGCCCGUCAAGCCAUGGGAGCCGGGGGUACCUGAAGUACGUAACCGCAAGGAUCGUCCUAGGGUAAAACUGGUGACUGGGGCUAAGUCGUAACAAGGUAGCCGUACCGGAAGGUGCGGCUGGAACACCUCCUUU
rnacentral:rRNA from 1 species